rnacentral:lncRNA from 1 species
GUAUAUCGGCUAGUAUGACACUAUGAAAUAUAUGUGUAAGAAAACACACAAAAAAAGAAAACAAACAACCAAACAGUUCAAAACUCAAAAAAAUAGUGUCUAGUCUAAUUUAUUACAGACCCAAAAUAAAAAGGUACUAAAAUAUAAACCUACACUAAUCCUAAACUAUUCUCCACCUGGUGCCUCGACCCUUGGUCACGAACCUCCUUUGCAUACAUGAUACUUCGGGGUAUUCCCAGAGAAUAAGUAAAAUGUACCUUGGGACAUUCCCCGCAUAAAUAAGUACAAUUGCUCCAAAUACGAUAAAACGAAAUCAUUCAACAAAUAUUUUGAACAUUCAAUAAUUAUUGGUUCUUAUGGCUUGCCGACCCGACCUAAGAUUUGCCUAUUAAAUUUUUGGCCUAAAGCAUGAUAUUACUGAAUUCGACAACAUCCAUCAAUGAAUCAAAAUAAUUAACAUUCACCUUAUUCGAUUCUCAAUUCCUCCCCCAAAUUUAAUUUACAUCAAACAAGGUUGAAUUGUUCAAUUAACCGAUUCAAAAGGACCAAUCAACCGUCCAUAAUCAUUGGAUCUAAACAUAAAAAAUGGAUAAAGCAAAGUGCACACAUUAUGAAUUCACCACACAAAGUAUCAAAAACUUAAAAUUAAUUAAAAACGAGAUGAGAAAUGUACCUUAAUAUCGCUUUCAAUUAAAAUUCCACCUUUCGAUUGAAACCGCAAAUGGAACAUCGAAUCAAACCUCACAAACAAACAAAUCUCAGCUUUUGUCCAUGCCCCUUAUGUUACUUCGCUAAACUGAACAAUAAAUUGAGAAGCAGUGACCAAAAUGGUAGAGAGGUCAUAUUUUCUAGUGAGUUUCCGAUAGGUUUUGAUGGUUCACUAACGAUGUCAACCAAAAAUGGAUUGGUUUAACUAUAGGUUGGAUUUUUUAGGGGAUUUUCCGAUAAUGUCAUCGGUGGUUGUGUUUUGGUUAUUGGUUUUAGUCAUUUUUGAGGUGUUGGUCACCGGUUUUGGUUGUUUUGAUUAUUGCUGGAGCUCCGACGAGCUUUAGCCAUCGGAAAAGACCUCUCUUCACUGUUUUUCUCCCUUUGUUUCUCUUAUUUCUCUCUGAUUUCUUUCCUCUACCCUAUUGUGUUCUCUGUGUCCAGCCGUAUGCGUGUGUGUGAGUGUUGUUAGAUGAACGGGAAAUGGAAAAGUUUAUUGAUUUGUUGUUGGGUAUGUAUUGUGUUCAAGGGAAAUUGGAGAGUAUGUAUAUUUAACUCUGUGUAUAUAUGUGUAUGGAUAUUUAUUUUGGUGAGGGAAAAAAUGUGUUAGGGGUUAUAGGAUGAGGUGACGUGGG